AUGCCAUGCAGACCCCCAUGGCAGGUGUCCAGGGUGCCCAUGGACCCAGGAACCCCUUCCAGACUGGGAACAAGCAAACAGUACUGGACAGAUGGAUGACACACAAAGGGCCUAUUCACUCAGUGGGAAAAUCCUCACCUCACAUUUCUCAUCCUCUGCUGCUGUUUUCUGUGUCACAAGCUGAGAAAUCAGAUGCUCAAAUUUGGAAGAAGCCUCCAAUGGUUUGAUUUCGUAAGUGAAGUCAUCCAGCUGCAGCAUGCCACGCAGACCCCCAUGGCAGGUGUCCAGGGUGCCCAUGGACCCAGGAACCCCUUCCAGACUGGGAACAAGCAAACAGUACUGGACAGAUGGAUGACACACAAAGGGCCUAUUCACUCAGUGGGAAAAUCCUCA